UACAGAGGUGGCAAGCGUUGUUCGGAAUUACUGGGCGUAAAGGGCGCGUAGGCGGCCAUCUAAGUCAGACGUGAAAUCCCCCGGCUUAACCUGGGAACUGCGUCUGAUACUGGACGGCUGGAGUUUGGGAGAGGGAUGUAGAAUUCCAGGUGUAGCGGUGAAAUGCGUAGAUAUCUGGAGGAAUACCGGUGGCGAAGGCGGCAUCCUGGACCGGCAUUGACGCUGAGGCGCGAAAGCCAGGGGAGCAAACGGG
rnacentral:rRNA from 1 species